rnacentral:rRNA from 1 species
GAUUAUGGCUCAGGAUGAACGCUAGCGACAGGCUAACACAUGCAAGCGAGGGCAGCAUAAAAGUAGCAAUACUUUGGUGGCGACCGGCGCACGGGUGAGUAACGCGUAUGCAACCUACCUAUCAGAGGGGAAUAACCCGGCGAAAGUCGGACUAAUACCGCAUAAAACAGGGGCACCGCAUGGUGAUAUUUGUUAAAGAAAUUCGCUGAUAGAUGGGCAUGCGUUCCAUUAGGUAGUUGGUGAGGUAACGGCUCACCAAGCCGACGAUGGAUAGGGGAACUGAGAGGUUGGUCCCCCACACUGGUACUGAGACACGGACCAGACUCCUACGGGAGGCAGCAGUGAGGAAUAUUGGUCAAUGGGCGGGAGCCUGAACCAGCCAAGUCGCGUGAAAGGAAGAAGGAUCUAUGGUUCGUAAACUUCUUUUGCAGGGGAAUAAAGUGCAGGACGUGUCCUGUUUUGUAUGUACCCUGAGAAUAAGGAUCGGCUAACUCCGUGCCAGCAGCAGC